ensembl:lncRNA
UCAGUUCCAGAUCCAUCAGUUUUGAAGUUUCCAUUCCUGCCCCAUGCGUUAUCCACAGUAUUUAAGAUAUGGAUGCAGAAAGUGAGUACUGCCAUCCCAAGUAAUUGAAAACAAAAAAAUAAGUGGAAAUCCAUGGAAAGGAGCCGUGGAAUUUGGACUGUUAAGGCAUAGGUGUGACACAAGUAACUGGUAAUGUGGAGAAAAAAAGGAGACUUACACCUGGAUUGUCCAUGUUAGCCUCAUUUCUCAUUGCCUCCAGAGGGAGUUCUGUUCAGGGAGUGCAAAGCAGGCCUGGAGGGAGUGGAAGUUGUCCUGUUGGACCAGGAGAAGAUUUCCAGUGUCUGAUCCCCGGGAGCUGCAAUCAGCUGAGGUUUCUGCUUGCCACACGUCCCUGAAUGUGACAAGGAGAGAGGGUUUCACUCUCAGCUGGCGAGGAGCCCUCUGCACACCCAGACUGUGGUGCAUGGUCAGGAGGUCAUUUCUGCCCACACAGUGGCCCAGCGCUGUCCCAGCAUGGAGCACUGAGGGCUGCUGCAGAUGUACUGCACUCACAGAAAAUGAACUGGAUCAAGCUCUUACAGUCUACAUAUAACAUAGCUCUGGCCAGAUGCUGCCUGUGACAGUUUUGCUGCUGGAAUUCAGCAGAGGCUGAUGCCUGUCCAUGACAGAGAGAGCUGUGCUAUCAAUGGGUGCUCCUGAUACCUGCACUCCUGGUGAGUAAUGCAAACACACACACAAUGCUUCUUCCUAUCUGU